UCGCCGGUGGUGUAAGGCGAACAUCGCUACCCGGAAAGCAGAAGAUGCGGGUUCGAGUCUCGCCUGGCGCA
rnacentral:tRNA from 1 species